rnacentral:snoRNA from 1 species
CUCCAAUGAUGACCUCACAUUUGUGCCACGUGUCUGGGCCACUGAUCCAAGUGAUGGGAUUGAGGGACUGAGGAG